GACGAACGCUGGCGGCGUGCUUAACACAUGCAAGUCGAACGGAAAGGCCCUGCUUUUGUGGGGUGCUCGAGUGGCGAACGGGUGAGUAACACGUGAGUAACCUGCCCUUGACUUUGGGAUAACUUCAGGAAACUGGGGCUAAUACCGGAUAGGAGCUCCUGCUGCAUGGUGGGGGUUGGAAAGUUUCGGCGGUUGGGGAUGGACUCGCGGCUUAUCAGCUUGUUGGUGGGGUAGUGGCUUACCAAGGCUUUGACGGGUAGCCGGCCUGAGAGGGUGACCGGCCACCUUGGGACUGAGAUACCGCCCAGGCUCCUACGGGAGGCAGCAGUGGGGAAUAUUGCACAAUGGGCGGAAGCCUGAUGCAGCAACGCCGCGUGCGGGAUGACGGCCUUCGGGUUGUAAACCGCUUUCGCCUGUGACGAAGCGUGAGUGACGGUAAUGGGUAAAGAAGCACCGGCUAACUACGUG
rnacentral:rRNA from 1 species